UGCCUUGCAGAAGGAAACUCGUGUGUAUGGUAGCUGCUGGAUUCCAGAGAGCAGAUGAAUUCUCAGGGCGUCUCCUGUCUGUGGGAAGAAGCCGUUGGCCAGGCCACGCUGCGCUCUCCUACAGCACAGUGCAGUCACCGGGUGGUGCUGAUGGUGCCGGUGGCCCUGUGCGCUGACCUGGGGGAUGUCAGAGUAAUGCCCAGCAAACCUCCUCGUGGACCACGGCCAGGCACAGUCUCACGGUUCUGAUUUGCAUCACUCACUUGAUGGCUUUCAGAGAAGUGCACCCCAGGUCUCACUGCACUUCCCCGGCUGCUUCCUGCCCCGGCCCUCUCCUUCUCCCUCACCCUUCGAGAACGAGGGGCCGUGGAUGGGGUGGGAGGAGAAGCAUGCUCCCAGCUGAAAAAGCCAGACAGCAAACAGCCAGACGGACUUCUCUGAACUCGCUGGGAGAGGAGACCAGGAGCCUGGGUGGACAGCUGCGGGCUCCCAGUGUCCACCAGGCCUGCUGUCUCCAGACUGCUUCCCAGUGGACCUCUGUCUGGGAAAGGGCU